CGCUGGCGGCGUGCCUAACACAUGCAAGUCGAGCGAGGAGAUCCUUCGGGAUGAUCCUAGCGGCGGACGGGUGAGUAACACGUGGGCAACCUGCCUCAUAGAGAGGAAUAGCCUUCCGAAAGGGAGAUUAAUACCUCAUAACAUUGCAGUUUCGCAUGGAACAGCAAUUAAAGGAGCAAUCCGCUAUGAGAUGGGCCCGCGGCGCAUUAGCUAGUUGGUGAGGUAACGGCUCACCAAGGCGACGAUGCGUAGCCGACCUGAGAGGGUGAUCGGCCACAUUGGGACUGAGACACGGCCCAGACUCCUACGGGAGGCAGCAGUGGGGAAUAUUGCACAAUGGGGGAAACCCUGAUGCAAGCAACGCCGCGUGAGUGAUGACGGCCUUCGGGUUGUAAAGCUCUGUCUUCAGGGACGAUAAUGACGGUACCUGAGGAGGAAGCCACGGCUAACUACGUGCCAGCAGCCGC
rnacentral:rRNA from 1 species